rnacentral:rRNA from 1 species
GAUGAACGCUGGCGGCGUGCUUAACACAUGCAAGUCAAACGAUGAUCCCAGCUUGCUGGGGGAUUAGGGGCGAACGGGUGAGUAACACGUGAGUAACCUGCCCUUAACUCUGGGAUAAGCCUGGGAAACUGGGUCUAAUACCGGAUAUGACUCCUCAUCGCAUGGGGGGGGGUGGAAAGCUUUAUUGUGGUUUUGGAUGGACUCGCGGCCUAUCACCUUGUUGGUGAGGUAAUGGCUCACCAAGGCAACAACGGGUAGCCGGCCUGAAAGGGUGACCGGCCACACUGGGACUGAAACACGGCCCAAACUCCUACGGGAGGCAGCAGUGGGAAAUAUUGCACAAUGGGCGAAAGCCUGAUGCACCGACCCCGCGUGAGGAAUGACGGCCUUCGGGUUGUAAACCUCUUUCAGUAGGGAAAAAGCGAAAGUGACGGUACCUGCAAAAAAAGCGCCGGCUAACUACGUG